GUGCCAGCAGCCGCGGUAAUACCGGCAGCCCGAGUGAUGGCCGAUCUUAUUGGGCCUAAAGCGUCCGUAGCUGGCCGCGCAAGUCCGUCGGAAAAUCCACCCGCCCAACGGGUGGGCGUCCGAUGGAAACUGCAUAGCUUGGGACCGGGAGGCUCGAAGGGUACGUCCGGGGUAGGAGUGAAAUCCCAUAAUCCUGGACGGACCGCCGAUGGCGAAAGCACGUCGAGAAGACGGAUCCGACAGUGAGGGACGAAAGCUAGGGUCUCGAACCGGAUUAGAUACCCCAGUAGUCC
rnacentral:rRNA from 1 species